rnacentral:rRNA from 1 species
GACGAACGCUGGCGGCGUGCUUAACACAUGCAAGUCGAGCGGAAAGGCCCUUCGGGGUACUCGAGCGGCGAACGGGUGAGUAACACGUGAGUAACCGGCCCCAGACUUUGGGAUAACCCUCGGAAACGGGGGCUAAUACCGGAUACGACACAGCUUCGCAUGGGGUCUGUGUGGAAAGUUUUUCGGUUUUGGCUGGGCUCGCGGCCUAUCAGCUUGGUGGUGGGGUGAUGGCCUACCAAGGCGACGACGGGUAGCCGGCCUGAGAGGGCGACCGGCCACACUGGGACUGAGACACGUCCCAGACUCCUACGGGAGGCAGCAGUGGGGAAUAUUGCACAAUGGGCGGAAGCCUGAUGCAGCGACGCCGCGUGGGGGAUGACGGCCUUCGGGUUGUAAACCUCUUUCAGCAGGGACGAAGCGUAAGUGACGGUACCUGCAGAAGAAGCGCCGGCCAACUACGUG